CGUAGGGGGCGAGCGUUGUCCGGAAUCAUUGGGCGUAAAGAGCUCGUAGGCGGCUCGGAAAGUCGGGUGUGAAACCCCCCAGGCUCAACCUGGGGACGCCACCCGAUACUGCUGUGGCUAGAGUCCAGUAGGGGAGUGUGGAAUUCCCGGUGUAGCGGUGAAAUGCGCAGAUAUCGGGAGGAACACCAGCGGCGAAGGCGGCACUCUGGGCUGGAACUGACGCUGAGGAGCGAAAGCGUGGGUAGCAAACAGGAUUAGAUACCCUGGUAGUCCACGCCGUAAACGUUGGGCACUAGGUGUGGGGACCCUCCAACGGUUUCCGUGCCGUAGCUAACGCAUUAAGUGCCCCGCCUGGGGAGUACGGCCGCAAGGCUA
rnacentral:rRNA from 1 species